rnacentral:rRNA from 1 species
UACGUAGGGGGCAAGCGUUGUCCGGAAUUAUUGGGCGUAAAGAGCGCGUAGGCGGUCCGAUAAGUCGGCUGUGAAAGUCAGGGGCUCAACCCUUGAAAGCCGGCCGAUACUGUCGGACUAGAGUCCGGAAGAGGCGAGUGGAAUUCCCGGUGUAGCGGUGAAAUGCGCAGAUAUCAGGAGGAACACCGGUGGCGAAGGCGGGUCUCUGGGCCGAUACUGACGCUGAGGAGCGAAAGCGUGGGGAGCGAACGGG